rnacentral:rRNA from 1 species
GACGAACGCUGGCGGCGUGCCUAACACAUGCAAGUCGAACGGGGUAAUCCUUCGGGGUUACUUAGUGGCGAACGGGUGAGUAACGCGUGAGAAACCUGCCUUUCAGUGGGGGACAACAGUUGGAAACGACUGCUAAUACCGCAUAAUGUUAUUUGAGGGCAUCCUUGAAUAACCAAAGCUUUAUGUGCUGAAAGAUGGUCUCGCGUCUGAUUUGCUAGAUGGCGGGGUAACGGCCCACCAUGGCGACGAUCAGUAGCCGGUCUGAGAGGAUGAACGGCCACAUUGGGACUGAGAUACGGCCCAGACUCCUACGGGAGGCAGCAGUGGGGAAUAUUGGGCAAUGGGGGAAACCCUGACCCAGCAACGCCGCGUGAAGGAAGAAGGCCUUCGGGUUGUAAAUUUCUUUUACCAGGGACGAAGAACGUGACGGUACCUGGAGAAAAAGCAACGGCUAACUACGUGCCAGCGCCGCCGUAACAC